rnacentral:RNase_P_RNA from 1 species
UGGCGUGGGGGUUUCGUCGCUGCCCAUUUUUGGGGAGAGGAAAGUCCGAGCAACGCAGAGCGCCGUGCUUUCUAACGGAAAGUUGUCGGUAACGGCAAGGUUCAAGGUAACAGAGAAUGACCGCCCCGCAAGGGGUAAGGGUGAAAAGGUGGGGUAAGAGCCCACCGCCCGUGUGGCGACACAUUGGGGUCAGUACUACCGACGGGUUGCAAGCUCAAGUAUAUCGACAGUAUGUAGGGUUGCUCGCCCGAUGUCGAGGGGUAGAGUGCUUUAGCCUAUGCGAGAGCAUAGUGCAUAGAUUAAUGACGAAGGCCGCUCCGCCGAGGGAGGGUUGCGUGCAACCGACCCGAGGGGGACCCAGCGGUACAGAACUCGGCUUACACCCUGCGCCAGGUC